rnacentral:rRNA from 1 species
CCAGAGAGUACGGUUACAACUAAAACUUAAAGAACUUGGCGGUUUUCUAGACCUCCUUGGAGGAGCUUGUCAUCAAAUUGAUAAUCCACAAGACACCUCACCUAUUCAGGAACAACCAGCCUGUAUACCAUCGUCGUCAGCUCACCUUAGAAAAGAGUGAGCUAAAUGAGACAACUCCUAACGUCAGAUCAAGGUGCAGCCAAUGAAUAGGGGAUUGAUGAGCUACUUUUCUUAGGGAACAGAGGAAGUAAAAAUGAAAAAACUACCGAAAAAGGAUUCAACAGUAACAGUAAUAAAUAAAGAUUCCGUGAAGCAAGCUCUAGAAUGCGCACACACCGCCCGUCACCCUCA